rnacentral:rRNA from 1 species
GACGAACGCUGGCGGCGUGCUUAACACAUGCAAGUCGAACGGAAAGGCCCUGCUUUUGUGGGGUGCUCGAGUGGCGAACGGGUGAGUAACACGUGAGUAACCUGCCCUGGACUUUGGGAUAACUUCAGGAAACUGGGGCUAAUACCGGAUAGGAGCUCCUGCUGCAUGGUGGGGGUGGGAAAGUUUCGGCGGGUGGGGAUGGGCUCGCGGCUUAUCAGCUUGUUGGUGGGGUAGUGGCUUACCAAGGCGUUGACGGGUAGCCGGCCUGAGAGGGUGACCGGCCACAUUGGGACUGAGAUACGGCCCAGACUCCUACGGGAGGCAGCAGUGGGGAAUAUUGCACAAUGGGCGGAAGCCUGAUGCAGCAACGCCGCGUGCGGGAUGACGGCCUUCGGGUUGUAAACCGCUUUCGCCUGUGACGAAGCGUGAGUGACGGUAAUGGGUAAAGAAGCACCGGCUAACUACGUG